rnacentral:lncRNA from 1 species
AAUGCAUUGAGAAACAAAGAGUUAGAGUUAAAAUCUGAGAAGAGAGAAUCUAUUAGUGGUGAAAAUUUGAUGGUUAAGUCCAAACCAAACCCAAAUCCAAAAAUUUUCAAUUUCAAUAAGCAACCCGGACACAAAAAGAAGGUGAACUUUAAAGAUAAAAUGAAAACCAAGCCUAAGGGUAAAAAGUGUUUUUACUGUCUAGGUGAAGGUCAUUUUAUCAAAGAUUGUCGUAAGAGACU